CAUUGGUGAGAAUCUAAUGCCUUGAAAACCUAAGGGUUCCUUCGUAAGGUUUGUCCACAGAGGGUGAGUUAGGGCCUACGCUAAUGCUUAAAGGCGUAAUCAAUGGAUAACAAGUGAAUAUUCCUGUACUACCCCUUGUUGGUCCCGAGGGACAGAGGAGGCUAGGUGAGCCGAAAGAUGGUUAUCAGUUUAAGAACGCAAGGUGAUCCUACUUUUUCAGGGUAAGAAGGGGUGGAGAAAAUACUUUUAUCUAAUGUUUAAGUACCAAGCAUUAUGGUGCUGAAGUAACCCAUGCCAUACUACCAAGAAAAGUUCGAACGACCUUUAACAAAAGGGUACCUAUACUCGAACCGACAUAGGUGGGUGGGUAGAGAAUACUUAGGGG
rnacentral:ncRNA from 1 species